rnacentral:lncRNA from 1 species
AGGCAGACAGCGGCGGCGAGGCGCGCAGCGGCGGCGCAGGCGCGGAGAGGCGCUGGCGCCGGCUCUGGCGCGGAGAGGUGCAGGCCCAGGCUCCACUCCCCAGCUGUGAAAGGGUAAGAACCGAGGGUGGCUGAGACUCGGGGUUGUUCAGGGCGGGGUGGGCUCUGGACCCAGCAGGCCCGGCACCCAGGUCAGGGCUCCAGGGGAGGCCAGGUGGGCGAAGGCCAAGAAGGGGCUGGGGCUGGUCAGGAAGGGCUCCUGGUGACCAGAGCACUUUGCGUGAGCCAGCGUGGGAGGAAGGUGGGCUAGAUGAGCCAGGGAGGCGCCGGGAGGGGCCUUGGCAGAGGCGACCCCCUCCGUCACCCCCAGGCCACUGAACCCUGGGUAGCGAGAACCGACAGGGGAGGCUGCAGACAGAGGAGUGGAGGCUCCCCGGCUUUGGGGGCUCUGAGUAGAAGCAUCUAGGGGGUCCCUCAAGAGGCCCCCAAACGCUUCCCCAUGGUGAGAAAAGAAGGCGCAGAGAGGGGCACGGCGCCGGCGCAGAGGGGCACACAGCGAGAUUUGCUGUGAGUUCUUUUAUUGCCCCAAGUGUACCUCAUCUUGGUAGAUUUCUAUUGGCUUUAAAAAUGUGUGUGUUUUGCUGUUGGGGAGUGGGGUGUUAUACGGAUGUCAGAUUUUGCUGGUUGACUGUUCAGAUCUUUUGUAAAUCCUUGCUCCUUUUCUGCCUAGUUUCACUCUGUCACUUACACUAGAGUGCGGUGGCACGAACAUGACUCACUGCAGCCUUGACUUCCUAGGGUCAAGUACUCCCCCUGGCUUAAUCUCCUGAGUAGCUGGUACUAUAGGUGUGUGCCGCCACACCUGGCUAAAUUUAAAAUUUUUUGGAGAGAUGAGGCCUUGCUAUGUUGCCCAGGCUCGAACUCCUGGCCUCAAGCUAUCCUUUGUUUUUGCCUCCCAGAGUUCUGGGAUUACAGGCAUGAGCCACUGUGCCCGGCCUCUGCCUAGUUUUAACAGUUGCUAAGAGGAGGAUGUUGAAGUAGAUGUCUUCUUGGUGGGUUAAUCCUUUUGUCAUUAAGCAGUUGUUAUGGUCACUUCCUUUUCACCCCAUUGGUGAAGGAGGGGUCCCUGCCCUAAAGUGUAGGAGAUGGCCGAACAUGACACCUGGCGUGGAUGGAUGAGAUUGACAGCAGUGUUUUAGUCGCAUAUACCCACAGCUCGGAGGAGGACACUGCAUGCCACACAGGGUCAGAUGGGCACCGCACUCUGUAGUGGAGUGAGGGCUGCGGGCUGAGGAAGCAGGCGGGCUUGGUAGUAACAAGAGCACACGAUGACCAAUGGUUCCCGAGGGGGAAUGCAAUUGGCUUGUUUGAAUAAAUUCAUGGGCUGGCAGACAGGUGAAGCGAAACUUCUUAGGCUGAGGUGCAACUGUUCUGGCUGAUAAAAGAACUAGCCAGGUGGGGAGCCUUUCCUGUUGGGUGGCGGGGUAGGGGGUGUCUGGUAGAAACAGGAAAACCCACGGCUAGGCCUUUGGGGCCCUGUGAGGCUCAAAGAUGUCAAGGCAGCAUAGGAAAUUUUAGAUCUUAAAAUUCAGCGAAGACCCUCUCCAGCUCUGGUUUUCUGCCUCCUGCUAAGCCAAUUUAUACAUUCCAAGAAAAUCUUCCAUUUCAUCCAGGUGAAACGGAACCUACUGGAAUGAAGCUGGCCUCCCAUGGAAUGAAGCUGGCCUCCCGUCUCCUUGAUUUGAAGCAGCUUCUCCACGUUGGUUAUUAUGCCAUUUUUCUAAAUCUAACAUUUUAAAAUUUGUGCCUUUUCUUUCUCUUUUGCUUGACUUCUCAGAGGUUUUUUUAACGGUCUUUUCAAAGAAGUGGUUUUGGGUUUUAUUUAUCAAGUCUACUUUUAUUAUGGCUGUUUUAAAAUUAAAUACAUUUA